UUAAGACCAUGAGUAUUGGUACGGAAGUAAGUAUCUUGUUCAUUUUCUGACGGAUCGUUUUGUUUCUCAAUUCAUUACAGCUUGGAAAAGGUCACCGCCUCCUGAGACAUUCCUCAUAUAAAUUGCUUUGGCCAUGAAUCUACUUCAAUCGGAGCAUUGCGUCGUGUUCUUGAGAGUAAGGACUUUAUGAACCAUAACGCGUCGCAGCCUGAAACGUCACCGGAUGUAAUUUGCUCACACAGUGCUUCACUGCGCAUGCUUGACGCCAAACUGCAACGCGUCUUCUUCACGUUCAGAACACGAGAUUAGCACUUGCAGCGUUUCCAGAAAACUUUACUGCAGGUCAAUUGGUUACAGCUACGAUGAAUGGACAACACGCAUACCCGCCGAGUUCGAUUUCAAAGUCGAAAACUGUCAAUAAUGUGAUGUACUGAACAAGCGAGUAUGAUGUCCUGUUAUGCAGAGGUUGUUUCCGAGAAUCCGUUCAAAACAAGAAAGGGUUCGUCGCAAAGCGAAAUUUGGGAUAGAAUAGGCAAACAAUAAAGCUUCCCUUGCCUCUC